UUCCCAUUAAGGCGAGAAGAAUGGCCGGACUUCCCCCUCUCUGUUUGCGUGUGGCUGAGGCUCCGUCCUUCGCUAAUUCCGUGCUACGUUAAUUAACUGUUGGCUUUCCUCCCCCGUGCCAUUCCGGGGCUGUUUGCAGACCCCUUAAUCCGGAAUGCAUCGGUUUGAUUCCGAGCGCGGGUUCAUAAAUAUCCAAUAAACACAGAGUGGGAAUAAUUAGCGGCGUUUAUCAGCAUAUGGCCCACCCACCCCACUCUGAAACCUUCCAGACCCCCGCGAGAGGAAAACGAAGUACGCGGCGAGUAAUUAGUUUCAAGCAAAUCAUUCCGAAUGGAAACUUAUAGACGCGGGUCAGCAAAACACCGCCACGGAGAACACAUAAACCAUCGGGAUAUCUCAUUAUAGAAACCUCUGCCAAAGUCUAUUCGGAUCCAGGUUCGCGCAGUGCCCCUCCGAAGCUCAAUGGGGGGAGAAGCGGCGAUCGUUGAGGAGAGUGUGGAAAUUCAUUUCGUUUUUACGGCGAUCCGGUAAAGCCUUACGAGGUGAUGCGAGACGUUGCGAAAGGAGAAAGUAUUUAAGAAAUUAGGGAUGGAAAAGUAGGGUUGGAGAGCCGAAGUGGCAGCGAGGAAUGCCGGGCAGCCUUCGGGUCUUGUAAAGUGGGGGGGGGGGGGGAGGAAGGGGGAAAUAAAAAGGAAAAAGAAAAGGCCGUAUGGAUUACCUCAAAUCGAAAUAUCUUGAGGCAGAAGUAAUAGAAAACGGGAUAUUUUUCAUAGGCGGAUUGUGUUGGUGGAAAUGACCCUCGCGGGGUUUUGAGGGGAGCUGAGGGGGUCACUCUGUGGGGCUGGGGGGGGGGGGGGGGGGGGGGGGGGGCGGUGUACGUCCCCCCCGUGCAUGGAACCACCAUCACAGCACUGCUCCGGGGUUUGGAGUUGGGGGGGCAGAGAACGGAGCAGUUCAGUGCACCCACCGGGACGGGGAAAAGCUGAAUUGGGACUCUGCUUUUCGAGUUCCCCCCCACCUUUUUUUUGGGGGGGGGGGGAGGGGGGGAUGGCGGACAGCUCAGGGCUUUCCCGUUGGGUUCCACCCCCCCGCGAUGGCUCCUUACACCUUAUUCACCCCCCGACCUCCCCCCCGUUUCCAGUUCCACCGCCCAUCCAGAGCCCCCAACACUGACUUUAUGGGUAUUUAAACCCAUCCUCUUCAUCUGUAAUUGUGGGUGAAGAGUAUUUAUUGCGCCGGUGGAUAACCAGAUAUAUAAUUAUCUCUUUAUAGAGAGACGGUGAAAUAAAGCAUCUGUCCCCCCCCCCCCCCCCUUCAUCCCCCCCCACCCGGCCGCACACAAAGGCGGAGGAAUACGGACAAAGUUACACAUUUGCACCGCCGCUCCAUUUGUAUUUUUCCUUCUCCGCCCCCCCCCCCCCCCCAAAUGCGUUCACCAAAGACUGAGGAUCGUCUCUUCCAACUUCAACCCGACCAAAUCGAACCGAUUUAUUCAUUUCUUCUUGUUUUUUCCUCUUUCUUUUUUCCUGAUGGGGGGAAAGAAAACCCCCGUUUGUGAAGAGGAGCCGCUCUGACCGCAGCAGUUCUGCACUGGCCUUUUUUGGGGGGAGAAAAGAAAAGGAUUUGGGGAUGUUUCUGAUGUAUCGGGGUGGAAUGGAGGGAGUUGGGGGCCAAAGGGGUGAGGGAGUGGGGAUGGGGGGGCACUGGGGGGGGGGGGGGAGAAUGUCCGAGAGACGGCAAUGGGGAUUGGCUUUGGGGCAGCGGAGGAAAUUUGGCUUCAGCUCUAUCCCUGCGGCGGAUCGAAUCCCCGGGGGCUGCGGGACAGGAGGAGCCAACCCAGGCCUUUUUGGUAUUAUUUUUCAUGGUCUUUUUAAAAUUGUACUUUUAAAUUAUUUUCCUUUCAUUUUUCCUUUCCUUUCCUUUCCUUUCCUUUCCUUUCCUUUCCUUUCCUUUCCUUUCCUUUCCUUUCCUUUCCUUUCCUUUCCUUUCCUUUCCUUUCCUUUCCUUUCCUUUCCUUUCCUUUCCUUUCCUUUCCUUUCCUUUCCUUUCCUUUCCUUUCCUUUCCUUUCCUUUCCUUUCCUUUCCUUUCCUUUCCUUUCCUUUCCGUUCCGUUCCGUUCCUUCCCUUCCCUUCCCUUCCCUUCCCUUCCCUUCCCUUCCCUUCCCUUCCCUUCCCUUCCCUUCCCUUCCCUUCCCUUCCCUUCCCUUCCCUUCCCUUCCCUUCCCUUCCCUUCCCUUCCCUUCCCUUCCCUUCCCUUCCCUUCCCUUCCCUUCCCUUCCCUUCCCUUUUCCCUAUCACAUUUCACUUUACUUCCCUUCUUUCAUGUUAUUUUCCUCCAUUUCGCCCAUUUCCAUCAUUUUCCUUCCUCUUCCUUCUCCCUCCCUCACAUUUUCCCCCUUCUCUCCCUCCUCCGCACCCGCGGAGCGGUGCGGAUCGCGGGGCCGCGGGCGGGAGGAGCCGUCGGGGCCGCCCGUCUGUCUGUGUGGGCGGGGGCGGCCCCGCAAAGUGAAGGUCAAAGUGAAGGCUCCGUCCGCCCCUCCGCGCCGCUCCGCCGCAACGCCACGGCCGCCUCAGAGCCGCUCUUUGCUUCGGACCCCCCCACAGCCGCCCCCUCCCCUCCAUAUCCACCACGGGGGGAGGAGGGGGAGCAGAGAGCAAGAUGCAAACGCGUCUGCCGUGGAGGAAAUUAAACGUCAUAAAGAAAAGCCCAAUUAAGGUUUAAUGUCUGAACAUGACCAUUUCCUCCAGAAAACAAUGAAGUUCGCUCGCCAUACGCGGUCACAGCAAAACCCUCCAACCCCAAACGACGGAGUAAUGCCAAGAGGACUUCUGAUGCUGCACGGGACCGUGCGGAGCCGCGGUGCCACGAAGCAAAUCCAUUCCUGAGGGGGGUUUUUUGCCCCCAUCCCUCCUCUUCUCCAACUCCAAACGAGAGACAGAAGUGCCGUUGCACGCGUGGGUGUCCUCCGGGGGUAAAGGGGUGCGUGUGCACGGGAAGGGCUGGUGCGUGGGGCAUCCCUGCAUGGAGGUGGGUGAGGAUGAGCGUUCCUCAUCCCUUCACCUUCCUCCCGUCCACCGGCAGUGUUUGCUUUCCCAGCCCGAGCUCCGGGUUGGGCGGAGGUCCCCCCGUGAAGCAGCAAAAGGAUUUCUCUUCGUUUCGUUCCGAGCGACGCGGGUGUGAAGGAGAAAACCCAUUGCCGCAAAUGGGGACGGUCGGAGCCAGUCCCCAAAAACGGGCUGAGAUUCCCCCUACGCUCAAUGGGCGUUCGGGGGAAGUGCAAUUAUAUAUAUCUAUAUAAAUAAUAAUAAAAAUGGGGGGAUGCGGGAGCCGAGGUAUUAAAGAGCACCGAGGAAAGGAACUGACUUCCUGAGUGCUUAAGGAUUAAUACCGCUCCUGCAAACGUGUGUGUGGUUUUAAUAGGGCUGCGAGGAUUAACUGCCCACCUUCCAUUCCGAGCGCCGCUCGAAAAGAGCAUUUCAGGGCUAUUUUGCUAAUAUACGGUCUGCCCGGCAGAAAGCACAUUUUCCCUGCCACCAUUUCCGACUUUUUUGCCCAGUUUCGCACGUUUUGAUGUCACUGUUUAAGUUAUCAAGCCUGGAGAAUAAAGGGAUUUUCUUACUGAUGAAGGUUUGGGUGUGUUUUAUUUCUCUUCUUUUGUGUUUAAAUGAGGAUUUUGAGAGGUUUGGAGAUGGGGUUAAGAGAGAGAAGGGUGUGGGAUUGAAAUAGGUGCUGUUUAAUGAUCUCCUCCUGGUUUCCCGUCUCUCUGGGUUGCAUUUCUCAGCGGCUCCGGGACUUCCAUGCAUUGGAAGUUCGACCCGAACCCCCCACCCCCAAAAUCCGUCUCUCCCCACGCUGCGGCAGCUCUCUGCCAUCCAAGAAAAGGGAAAAUAGAGAGAGAAGCAAAUAGAUGAGAACACACACCCCACCCUGGCAUCCCCCUCCCCGGCUUCGCGUGGGCUGAUGAG
ensembl:lncRNA